rnacentral:rRNA from 1 species
CUUGGUCAUUUAGAGGAAGUAAAAGUCGUAACAAGGUCUCCGUAGGUGAACCUGCGGAGGGAUCAUUACACAAAUAUGAAGGCGGGCUGGAACCUCUCGGGGUUACAGCCUUGCUGAAUUAUUCACCCUUGUCUUUUGCGUACUUCUUGUUUCCUUGGUGGGUUCGCCCACCACUAGGACAAACAUAAACCUUUUGUAAUUGCAAUCAGCGUCAGUAACAAAUUAAUAAUUACAACUUUCGACAACGGAUCUCUUGGUUCUGGCAUCGAUGAAGAACGCAGCGAAAUGCGAUAAGUAGUGUGAAUUGCAGAAUUCAGUGAAUCAUCGAAUCUUUGAACGCACAUUGCGCCCUUUGGUAUUCCAAAGGGCAUGCCUGUUCGAGCGUCAUUUGUACCCUCAAGCUUUGCUUGGUGUUGGGCGUCUUGUCUCUAGCUUUGCUGGAGACUCGCCUUAAAGUAAUUGGCAGCCGGCCUACUGGUUUCGGAGCGCAGCACAAGUCGCACUCUCUAUCAGCAAAGGUCUAGCAUCCAUUAAGCCUUUUUUUCAACUUUUGACCUCGGAUCAGGUAGGGAUACCCGCUGAACUUAAGCAUAUCAAUAAGCGGAGGA